AUGGAUCCAAGCUACAGUCGUAGAUCAAAAAGUGAGGAUGAAUUUGCUCUUUUUGUUCUUCCUACUUUAGAAGAACCCUCUCAUUCCUCAAGAAGACCUAUGCACACUUCAAUACUUACAGGUGCACGACGUGUAAACGAAAUUUUGAAUGGGCAUGAAGACCUAUGCAAAAGGCACUUCAGAAUGGAGAUUGACAUAUUUCAAGCUUUGGUUCAAAAACUGCGCGAGAAUGAUCGCCUUGUUGAUGGAAGAGAUGUCUCAGUAGAAGAACAAGUUGCUAUAUUUUUGUAUGCAUUAUCUAAGAAUGCAACAAAUGAUACUUUGGCAGAUUGGUUUCAGCAUAGUGGACAAACAAUAAGUUGCUAUUUUGGAGAAGUGCUCAAUGCAAUUACAGAACUCUAUUCUGUAUAUAUACGUCCACCUUCCCUACACCCGCAUCCAAUCUUGAGUAAACAGAAGUUCUACCCCUUUUUUAUGGACUGCAUCGGUGCUAUAGAUGGUACACAUAUUCCAUUGGAAUUACCUGUUCAUGAGCAAGAACCAUAUCGCAAUAGGAAGCAAACAUUGUCACAAAAUGUUAUGGUAGCAUGCGAUUUUGAUUUAAAGUUUGUGCAUGUACAUGCUGGUUGGGAGGGAUCAGCUUCAGAUGCAAGAGUCCUACAAGAUGCACUUAACCAUGGGUUUCAAGUACCCCCCGGAAAAUUUUACCUUGUAGAUGUUGGUUAUGCAAAUACACCACAAUUUCUGGCACCAUAUCGUGGUACUAGGUACCACCUGCAAGAACAAGGGAGAGUUCGCCAAAGGCCAAGAAAUUACAAGGAAUUAUUCAACCUACGGCAUGCACAACUCCGAAACCAUAUCGAGAGGACUAUUGAUAUAGUAAAAAUGAGAUUUCCAAUAUUGAGAGUGGCUUCACAUUACUCUGUUACCAAACAAAUUGACAUAUCAGUUGCUAGUUGUGUGCUUCACAAUUUCAUACGUUUGCAUAAUGGAGAUCUAUCUUGGCCUGAGAAUACUGCUGUGGAGAUUGACCAAGAACAAUUUGUUGAUGUGCCAAGUGGAGAUCACAAGUAUCAUAAUGACAUACAUGCAUUUAAUUACUCUAGAGAAGCUGGGAAUCAAAAGGGAGAAGAUAUAGCACAACAAAUGUGGGCACAGUAUGUAUCACAAAGAUCAUAG
rnacentral:rRNA from 1 species